rnacentral:rRNA from 1 species
GACGAACGCUGGCGGCGUGCUUAACACAUGCGAGUCGAACGGAAAGGCCCUGCUUUUGUGGGGUGCUCGAGUGGCGAACGGGUGAGUAACACGUGAGUAACCUGCCCUUGACUUUGGGAUAACUUCAGGAAACUGGGGCUAAUACCGGAUAGGAGCUCCUGCUGCAUGGUGGGGGUUGGAAAGUUUCGGCGGUUGGGGAUGGACUCGCGGCUUAUCAGCUUGUUGGUGGGGUAGUGGCUUACCAAGGCUUUGACGGGUAGCCGGCCUGAGAGGGUUACCGGCCACAUUGGGACUGAGAUACGGCCCAGACUCCUACGGGAGGCAGCAGUGGGGAAUAUUGCACAAUGGGCGGAAGCCUGAUGCAGCAACGCCGCGUGCGGGAUGACGGCCUUCGGGUUGUAAACCGCUUUCGCCUGUGACGAAGCGUGAGUGACGGUAAUGGGUAAAGAAGCACCGGCUAACUACGUG